ensembl:snoRNA
AAGACAGCCAAUUAAUCUGUUUAUCUGAAUGUUCUACAGAAAUUUAGAAGCAGCAGUCAAUAGUGAUGACAUUUUAUAAGCUUUAAGGACAAACGAUGCCAUUGUCAUUAAGUUCCUUCAAAAUGGCUACAAUA